rnacentral:lncRNA from 1 species
CGCCCCCGUGUCCUGACUGCUUCCCUGAUAACAUGCCCUCACUGUUUAUUAAGCAUGGCCGGGCUGCCUGCAGAUAAUACUAACAGGCAACCAGGCAGAAAGUCGUUCAGACACAUUCGGCCAAAUCCUCAGCUGAUGCAAAUUGGCACGAAUGCAAUGGAGUGACCUCGAUUUACACCAGUUGAUGGUCUGCCCCACGGUGUGUGGAGUCCCUUUGGCGUUGUGGCGAGGGCCGGGGAAGGACGUCACAGAGCCGGAAAUAAAACCACAGCUUGUUUUUUGGGGCAAACCAUCUGCUGACAAACCCAGGAAAGAGCAACAUUCCCAUCUGAGCGAGAUGCUCAUUUCUAGGCCAAGGGGGAGUGUGAAUGCUCAUGUCGGAGACUUCCCAUCCAUCUGGCCUGUUAAAUCAGACGUUGCAGCACAGUCCAAGAAAGGCUGUCGGGACGCUGACGCUUCUUUGUGUGAGGUGAAAUGCUGAAGAGAGUUAUCAAUGUUGUUGCCUCCGUAACCAGAGAAAACACCUUUGUGGCCUCUGCAUUUGGGGACAGCAGGCCAAGGAAGGAAUUAUUCUGGCUUUCAUUUUCUAAGUACAAUUUUUAAAGCAGGUCAGAACUUUUUGAAUUUCCAGAAAAUGUCAAUGAAGAAUUGUGCCACUAUUUUGAAUUUCAUUACCACAAAUGGGAACGUUGUCAAAGACAUGUUGAGGGGGCGGGAUAGCUCAGUGGUUUGAGCCUUGGCCUGCUAAACCUCAAGGUUGUGAAUUCAAUCCUUGAGGGGGCCACUUCAGGAGCUGGGGCAAAAAUCUGUCAGGGACAGUACUUGGUCCUGCUGUGAAGGCAGGGGACUGGACUUGAUGAUCCUUCAAGGUCCCUUCCAGUUCUAUGAGACAGGUAUAUCUCCAUAUACAACUAAAGGGAAAUUUAAUUUCAAAGAGGUUUUUCAACCAACUAUAGAUUGGGGAUAAUAUUUUCAAAAGCAGCCAAGUGACUUGGGCACUCAGGGUUCCUAAAUCACUUGGGCACCUUUGAAAUUUUUUUUUUUUUAAAUUCCAACAUUUCAAAUGUUGACCAAAAAUCAUAAAAAUAAAAAAUGCCCCAAACUUCUCGCCA